GAGAUGUGAAAGGGAGAGAAGCCGAGACACGCCGACGCUAUAUCGAUUUGGCGACUGAACUACUUGGUAUAUGGGCUUCAUCAUGCGACGCACAUCAGUACCAGUGGGUAGACGGGAGAGAAUAGAAAAGCGUACUAGUACCUCAACAACGUGAGAUGGGAUAUUGUGAGAUGAUCCUAUCCAGGAAAGGAGUGAGGAGACACCUUCUUAGUUGGCAAGAGACUUUCUUGGAAGCGCAACAAGACAGCCAGUCCAACCUAAUCUGGAAGUCAAGGACGUCGAUACGCAACAAAGAAUUAAAUGGUAUACUCCAAGAUAGAGAGUUAUAUAUAAUACAAAAUACAGGAUGUCAGACUGAAGACAUUUAGAUAUUCCAUGAAUUUAUCCAAAUAAAUAAUUUAACAAAGAAAAUAUAAUAAUGUAUAUUGCACGUGUAUGCACAUUUAUUUGAGAGCGGAGAGUGAGAAGUAAGUUAUUAAUAGCCAGUCUAAACUUGUGCUUUAGCAAAAUAUGAUAUGAUUAUAUUUGAAUAAAUAAUUUGACUAUGUAGAACCAAGUUGAUACAUCACAGUAGAGUGGAAUGAACUCAUUUGUCGUUGAUCGUUGAUCGUGUAGUACACAAAGUAUGGUAAUAUGGUGGUGCAUUGACCGAGGUCGUCGAUAAAUAAAUCAUUAAAUAAUUUAAUUGAUGAAGAAGAUUAAUCGAUCGAUCAUUAUUGUAAAAUGUUGAGUAGCCGAAAAAGGUGCGGCUCGAGCAUGCGUGAAUCGAAUGCAACUAAAACCAACAAGAUAGGCAAGAAAAGUCUUCGCAUAUAUACCAAGAGAACUGAUUCGAAACAAAAAAAGAUGAAAACGAUGAAGAUGAAGAUGAAGAAGAAAUAAAACAAACCCUUCGCCGAAAUCGGCAUUGAGAAGAUCGCAAUUUCCAAGGAUUUCAACCGAGCAUUCGCAUCGCGGAUUCUGGUCUGGUAUACAACCAACGACCAAUUGAAGGGAAUGAAAUAACAGAAGAGAACCUGGAGCUGGAGCUGGAGAGCACCAUAGCGUAGAGGACGAUGCACUCAAUGAGCAAGAGUCUUUGUGUCGCUCAGCUGGAUUUCUGAAUCCAUUAAGAGGAGGGUGCCUCUGAUCUUCGUCUCUGACUAACGCGUUCUACAGAUUUACAUCCCACAUCUUUUUUAACGCCCACUUAAACUGACACUCAUUUGUGUCCUCUUUAACUUUACUACACAUCAGUGCAUGAACGUAUAUCAAUUACAUGCACAAAUUGUUUAUUUAUAUUUAUACUUAUCCUUGUGGACAAUAAAUAUAAAAGACGGAUAUAGGAAGAAAAUCGAGUUAAUCUUAUCGAGACAGAACGAUUUUGCUGAUAAAGAUUUAGUAAAAGCAAAAUCCAGCCAUGAUAAUAAUAAUAAAAAUAGUAAUAUUAAUAGUCUCAAAUGAGAAUUGUGCAGUUUGGAACGAUAUCAUUUGAUAUUUAUAAUACAUGAUUGUAUGCAUUGUCUUCAUUAUACACGAUAUGACAAAUCGAAACUCUUGUACUGCACGCAAACAAAUAAAACCAACACAGCAAAUGAAAA
rnacentral:lncRNA from 1 species